GGCACUUGACUGCCGGAGAGUGGCCUGCCCCUGUCGUUGGCGGCAGUAAAAGCGGGAGAAGGAGGCUGACUUGCAUUUUCAUCAAGUUCUGACCUGGGGACAUGAUUUGUCUUCCCCUAGAGGACGCUGGAGUAGCGAUCGAUAAAAAUGUAACGUGUGACCUGUGGAUAGCUCCAGGGAUGGCUGGAUAGAAAAAAAGUUCAUGAAGUUACAGCGAUCUCUUUUUUUCCCAUGGAUCCGUAUUCUGCUGAUCAAGUGUCAAGAGUGUGAUGUUUCUGGUUCUGCAUUAUUGACGUCAUUGUGCAGCUCGUCCACGAUUUCUGACGUCAAACCUACAUCUGACGUCAUCCGUGACGUCAUGAGCUAGAACUCGAAAAUGUCUGCCAAACGAAAAGCAGUGUCAUCGCCCAAGUGUUGCUCCAGAUGGUGGGCAAUGCCAGGAUGCUGUAGCUGUUAGCCAUUCCAGAGUCCUGCCUGUUCUCGUCGUUCUUCUGGCGAUGGCGUCCGUUUCAGCAGCGACGACAUCAAGGCCUGCAGUUUGUAGACAGAAAAAAAUCAUGUCUUCUACGCGAGACAUUGCCCUCACGUCCAGUUGACUAACAUCUACCGUGUGUGUGUGUGUGUGUGAAGCAUAUAAAAGAUCGUCAAGCGCGCAAUUUGGAAAAUUAGCUCCAUGUUCCCUCGAUGGAUUGAUAAAUAAAUAAUAGCCAAUAAACAUUGUCCCUUUGAAAAAAACCUACGACACCCUUCACCGGGUAUAAAUUUAAUUCAAACUUUUGAGGAAAAAAUGGUCA